CCUAUCCCGAGGACGAGCGCAUCUAGGGACGUCACGGGGGUUACGACCCAUCGACUUACCAGUUCUAGCUAGCAGUUGGCGGCUCACGAGGUUCUUUUCGGCAUUCUGACAGACACUCUACAUGUAGGACUCACCUGCGGGUGUUGUACUUUAAUUAUAGUCCUACUUGACUGCACCUAGUACCUUCGCUCUGAAUUGUGUGUUUACUUUAUAACUCGCUCUAGUAUGCUAGUUGAAUAUUUCUGCUA